GGUACCAUGGCUUAAUUGGUUAAAGCACCUGUCUAGUAAACAGGGGAUUCUGGGUUCAAAUCCCAGUGGUUCCU
rfam:Alligator mississippiensis ScZkoYb_22, whole genome shotgun sequence.